rnacentral:lncRNA from 1 species
CAUUGUUAUGGUCACUUGGGUUGGGUUGAAUUGUGUGGUUUAGGCUUAAGCACAACAGGAAUUCAGAGAAAAGAGAGGGCACCUUCACCAAUAAUCCAAGAUGACUUGGAUCAUCCAGUCUAAGAGUUCAUCCUGGCCAAUGACUGGGAGCUCCCAGAGCAGAUGAUGUUGGAGUAGGGCUUUGAAGGAUCCGUAAGAGUUUGCCAGGAGAAAGUGGAGGAGAGGUCAAGGUUGACUGUACAGUUGUCUCCCUACAUUCUCGGCAUUCUGGGAGUCUCCGUGCUUCAGUUUCCUCAUCUGUAAACAUGAGAGUAAUGAGUACCUAUUGCUUCUCAGGGUUUUAGUAAAGAUUAAAUAAGCUAC